CUCCUCCUCCUCCUUCUCCUUCCCCACCUUCUCCUCUCUCUCCCCCGCCUCCUCCUCCACCUCUACCACCACUCCCUCCGGGGCGCCCAGGUCCCAACAGAGUCCCCGCCGGGCGCUGCCACCGCCACCAUCCACAGCUUCCCCUCCCAACCCGAGCCAGCUGCCACGGGGGCAGGGUCUAAAAAACUAUGUUCAAAAUUGAUGCUCUUUCGGUUUGCACUUACAACAAGUGUUGUCUUCAGAAGCCAGUUUGCCAGGGGCUAAGAAGUGAGGAGGUGAAGAGGAAGUAGAGGUGUUUCCUUGGAGAGAAAAAUGAUAUGAAUCAGAAAUCCUUCCAGCGUGGGGGAAUUCCUGUCCAGCUGGAUAGUCUAAGGAGCCAGGGCGACAGCCUGUGGUAAAAUAGAAGAAUGUCAACUCUUUAAUCCUAUUGAUUCCCAGUUCCUUUUGAUCUCAGCAGUUCCUGCUGCUCAGGCAAGUAAAAGCACUCCUCGUUGCAGUGAUGAUGCGUUCUGGAUCUUCCCCCACACCUAACAUCGAAGGAGGAAUUGGGAGACAAAUUACUGGGAGACCGAUCCAGAGAAGGGGCAAAUGACAAUUCCUACAGUUUGGUAAAGGGCAGAGAAAAACUGCAUUCAGCCUGCCAGUGUGGCAGGCUUCUGCCUCUGCCCCCUCCCUACUUGACCUAUCUUACCCUACACCGGCAAACGUCGAGAGGCUCCAGCCCCUCCCUUCUGUCCCUAAACAGAUCUAGGGACUUUCGGAACCAGUCAGGAGGUAGCUAAACCAGCCUCUGGUAAACCCAGGUCCCUGACUCUCCAUGACCUGCGCUGACGCCGGGAGGACUCUCGCCGAAGAAGAUGCUUCAGGCAUAGAAAGCCUAGCUGUACAUUGACCUCCAUCGCUCCUGGCUCCGCGGAAUUUUCCGGGCCCGGCUGGCCCUCCGCGGCUGCACCUCUAGGACUAGGGCACCUUCUGUUUGGGCAGAGCCCGGGGCUUUACCCUGGGCAUAAUCUCUGACUUUCUGUAAAAAAUCUGGGAGAAAAGGCGGGGACCGAGAAAGUAUGAGGUUUGGGGACCGUUUUCCUUCCCCCUGCUCCAGAAGAAGCGAAAAAAGUCACUCAAGACAAAUCCACCCCUCGUCCAUUCAACGAUGACAGGCCCCACAGGGCCCAGGCCAAAGCAACUGAGUUCUUCCGAAACGCUUUAGGAGGACGCUAGAGUGUACCGGGGCCGGGCGUUAUUAUUCAACCUCAAUAUACCCCAACCGCUUUAAUAAUCCAGAGAUAAAGUGGUGUGUGUGCGUGCGUGCGUGUGUGUGUAUGCGUGUGUAUUUCAUUUCUUCUUUCUCUAUGAAAGCCCGGCCCGUCCCUAUCCCACCCCCACCCUGGCCCCAAGCAGCUCCUCACAUUAUCCGGCCUAUUGGAGUACUGGAAUCGCCAUGAUAAAUUACUCUUUGAAUCUGAAUUCAGCUAGUACAAAAGGGCAGAUAACCCCCAUCCCCGGCAGAGGCCCGCCCGCGGGAGCAGGCAGUUUUUACAAGUGGCUUCCAUCCCCCCCCCACAAAAAAAUACAGCACUAAAACUCAACCGAGAAAUAAUAAUAGACUCAACAUAUAUAAUCAAGAUAACAAGCCAUCAUAAGCAUAUGCACUGACAUGCAUGUUAGAAGAAUGCUUUCCACUCCAUUCCAUUCUGACUGAAAUCCCUCUUUUUCCAUCCUCCUCUUUUUUCCUUCUUCCCCACCCCUCCCCCAUCCUUUUCCCUCCUCUCUUCCUUUCUCUUUACUCACUUCUUCUUUUAAAAGUUAAUUGCAACUUUUUCCUGUGCGCUCUGAUCUGGAUAAGCCAUAUCUCAUUAGAAAAAGAUUUAGCUUGAGCCAAAGUAGGCUGGAGAAGGAAUCCCUAAUCAGCACAGUAUAUAUUUUUGUAUAAUUGCUCCUUGGCAUUCUCCUUCUUGCUCCCCCUCCCGCGCACCCCCCCCCUUCUCUGUACACUGCUUCCCCGUUUCUUUUUGCUCAUUAAACUGAAAAGAAAGUCGUGUC